rnacentral:rRNA from 1 species
GGGUGCGAUCAUACCAACACUAAUGCACCGGAUCCCAUCAGAACUCCGCAGUUAAGCGUGUUUGGGCGAGAGUAGUACUAGGAUGGGUGACCUCCUGGGAAGUCC